CACGAGAUGACUCUCACUUCAUGCUAGCUCUGUGCCUGGAGAAAAUUUUCUGAGCACAAAGAGGUAGAAUGCAACCAGAAAGAAAACUGUGGCCCUACUGAACUGAGGAAGAAGAGGUCAGAGUUCUGGAAUCAGAAAGAGCAAGUAGGAAGGGUGCUGCACCUAAGGACUCUAGAUCCUUGGUUUGGGACUGGGCCUCACACAUGUAAUGUGAGGCUCUUGAGACUGAGGAGGACUGCUGUUCGGUCAGGAUCAGAAGGAAUAUGCUAGAGUUCAAGCCACCAUGCAAGAUCCGUGAGCAACUCCUUAGGUGAAUUGUGAAAGACAGCCAGGGCCUAUAUUUGGAGUGCAAGGGUUCUGGA
rnacentral:lncRNA from 1 species